rnacentral:rRNA from 1 species
GAUGAACGCUGACAGAAUGCUUAACACAUGCAAGUCAACUUGGAUUUGGGUUUUUAACUUAGGUUUGGGUGGCGGACGGGUGAGUAACGCGUAAAGAACUUGCCUCACAGCUAGGGACAACAUUUGGAAACGAAUGCUAAUACCUAAUAUUAUGAUAAUAGGGCAUCCUAUAAUUAUGAAAGCUAUAAGCGCUGUGAGAGAGCUUUGCGUCCCAUUAGCUAGUUGGAGAGGUAACGGCUCACCAAGGCGAUGAUGGGUAGCCGGCCUGAGAGGGUGAUCGGCCACAAGGGGACUGAGGCACGGCCCUUACUCCUACGGGAGGCAGCAGUGGGGAAUAUUGGACAAUGGACCAAGAGUCUGAUCCAGCAAUUCUGUGUGCACGAUGAAGUUUUUCGGAAUGUAAAGUGCUUUCAGUUGGGAAGAAAAAAAUGACGGUACCAACAGAAGAAGUGACGGCUAAAUACGUGCCAGCAGCCGCGGUAAUACGUAUGUCACGAGCGUUAUCCGGAUUUAUUGGGCGUAAAGCGCGUCUAGGUGGUUAUAUAAGUCUGAUGUGAAAAUGCAGGGCUCAACUCUGUAUUGCGUUGGAAACUGUAUAACUAGAGUACUGGAGAGGUAAGCGGAACUACAAGUGUAGAGGUGAAAUUCGUAGAUAUUUGUAGGAAUGCCGAUGGGGAAGCCAGCUUACUGGACAGAUACUGACGCUGAAGCGCGAAAGCGUGGGUAGCAAACAGG